CUGCUCAUCUAUGUCGAUGGCGUCGGCGUCGUCCUUCCCCUGCAAAGCAUGGCGGCUCCUUGGCUGGAUCACAGUGAUGAUACAGUUGGCUCGGCGGCGGCUAGGGAUCUCGCAGGCUGGCGUUUAUUUGAUGUCUGGGUGUUCCAAUCGUGAUGGAACGGACGUAUAAUGUACGGUAUAAGAAUUUGGACGAGGCUCAUCUGCGUGGAUGGUUGUGGCUUGGCCGCCGGGCACACAAUCCAUUGAUUCACACAUAAGGUCAAAACCGAGUCGCGGUGUUCACAAUGCUGGGCAUUAUUUAUAUCGAAGGACGAGGAGGAAGAUUUGGAUGACCGUAACCACAAUGGCAAGGGCAGCAACAUGGUCGUCACCUACAAUGCCGAUGGGUGCUGACAUUAUGAUGUUUGGUUUAUUUGUUGAAAGUUACAGCCCAUGUUUCAUGAUUUAUUUGCCACCGGUUAAUCAUGAUAUUUUGAAGUGCUCUGACAAUUGCUUGCUGUCUGCAUCUCUUACUUUUCAACUUGCUGCAUAUACAGAUAUACAGCAUUAGAAUCUGUUUGUACAAUAUAUUUACUUAUUCAACAUGCUUCAGUUAUGCUUCUUUGAAAAUCCAGUUGUAGAUUGCAGUGAAGCCCCAUUUAGAUCUUGGCUAUAGUAUUAUUCUUGUCUUAUGACUCGUGACAGAUUGAUAUGUGAUACCAUGACAUAGCAUAUGUGCUACCGUGGUAGUCACAUUUGGUGGUAGUUCUGAUUGUUUGCUAGAUUACGAGAUAAGACCAAGUGCUUCUGCAACUCGGUUGCGGUUUUGAUAGGAACAUGAAGACUUGUGAUGCCAUGGAGCAUGUUUGAUUAAAAGGAGUAAGUCAACAUACAACUUGUUUCUUAUGUUUUAUUUAGAGAAAAUGAUUGUUCCUUGUGAGUCAUUUUCUUCUACAAAUGCACCAUAGUUGCUCCAAUAUAUUGAGCAGGGACGAAGUUUGUUACAAGUGUUUUAUAGAGUUGACGCCAGAGACAUCCGACGGGAUACAUUGGUGAAGGAAUCGAUGAAGAAGCUUCCGUUCAGCAUGGUAUCUCAAUGGAAGAAUAUCCGAAGCAAACCUCCGCUACUUCUCUGUUCCCUUUCAUUUGUCGUGGGAAGACCUUAGGAAGGUAGGAAGACCUUAGGAAGAGCGGGUGGGAGGAAGAGAGGCCUGUGCUAUAGAUGUAGGCGAACAAUGGUCCUUGGAAAUUAUUAGUACUCUACAAAAUGUCUGUCCCCUAUGAUGCCUACAAUGAGCGAGAGAGGGUGGCAGGAAGGGAGAGCGGAGGAAGGAAGAUGGGGAUAUAUGUAGAGAGGGAGAUAGGAGGAAGGGAGAUGGGCAUAUAUGUAGAGAGAGGAAGAUCAGAUAGGGAGGGGAGUUUUACAGGACGAUUGUCGUUGAGCCACUCAAAUAUUUUCGUGUUUCAAUGACGCGUGGAGGACGACGGUCACGAGCGCAUUGUCGCAAGCUCACAGGAGGGAGGCACACAUCUCAUCCAAUAUAAAAGCAUGCUCCGAAGAAUCCCUAACCCUCCAUGGAGCCAUUGCUAGGGGGCGACGAGAUCAACGCCACCCAUCACGACCACCGAGAUGUAGAAGGGCUUCGUGACUGAGCUGGCGAAUAAAAUGUCAGUGGUGGAAACGGACAUGUUAUAGAAGAUGUUGAGGGUGGCACCGGAGUUAAUGGCCAAAUGGGGUUCCUCGGCACCGAAAAGAAGGAUGCUGCAGCGACACGUACUGGGUUCCAUUUCCAACCAGAGAAGAACUUAUGAAUGUGGCAUUAAUUGCAAUGUGAAAUAUCAUAUAUCCAUAAACUUCACAUUGUUGUUGCUACGAGUCUGCUGGUCAGCUACUUCCAGUUAUCCUCAUCGAGAGUUGAUUGUCGGAUUUCACCAAGAAAUAAAAACAGAGGAAAACCCGCCGGUCUUACUACCGAUAGCAUCAAACAAGAAUAUGGGCACUAGAAAGGAGACGAUCCUAUCCACUAUCACAAUGAAACAAGAGAAACAAUUCCUUGCAGUCAUCUAUAAGCCUAUUCUUUAAUCCGUUCAAUUACAGAGUUUAUGAUUAUGUAAAUGGAGUAUGGGAUCUGAGAAGAAGAAAAAGUUGCAUCCGAUUCAAGGAAGAUAAUGGACAAGUGCAUUGGUAUGAACAGGUCGUCGACUUUGACAGAAAAUGCAUACAGAUUAUCAGUUUUCCUGCUGAGUUGUACUAUUAUGCUACAGAAUACACAUCAGCUAUUAUGCUACAGAAUACGCAUAAUUAGUUACAGAUCAGUAGGCUACUCAUCUGGUUAGUUUUCUCAAGUCAUUUCUUCUGUGUGUAUAUAUGUUAUUUUCCUUUUUACACUAACAAGAGUUUCGUGCUUUCUGGUAUGGUGUGGUGCUCCCCCCUUCAUUUAGUGAGUUCUUCCUUAAUGGAGGAUAUGGUAUAGGUAAUAGUGAGUGGUGUUCUAGCUUAUGCACUAUUUCCCCCUGGCCCGAGUUCCACACCAUAACAUGCUGCCGCCCCGGCUGCCGCGUCUGCCACGGCGCCGACGCCUCCCUGGCUCGCGGGACAUCCCCUCUAUAUAUUGUAACAGACUCGCAUGAAUACAAUUGAGUUGCAUCCUAUAAUCUUCUACAUGCAUCAUCUGGUUUUAAUGGACAGGUUCCAGCAAAAAAUGUCACGCUAUAAGGAAAGCGAGUGGGAAGGGUGUGUUGUAGGGUGGAAUUCUUGUGUUGGAACAACGUGUUGGAGAUAACAUGGUGAAUAGUCCGUACAACUACAUUUAUUCCCCACAUAUGAGUUGGAUUUGGGGGAGCCCAGACGGUUGAAUUUGGGGAGUCUGCUGGGCACCCAUUUGAACACGGCCGAAUGUAUGAGGGAGAAAUGAGCUUCGACUUGUUUAAUAUUGUACAAAAAAUAUUUGCUGCUAAUAAUGAGACAAGUUCUGAUUUGUAAAUGCAAUAUUCUUCCAUGUAUACAGAAUUACAGAUUGAAUGAAAUAUAAGCCAAAGUUGAAUCUCAA